rnacentral:rRNA from 1 species
UACGGGGGGGGCAAGCGUUGUUCGGAAUUACUGGGCGUAAAGGGCUUGUAGGUGGCCAACUAAGUCAGACGUGAAAUCCCUCAGCUUAACUGGGGAACUGCGUCUGAUACUGGAUGGCUUGAGUUUGGGAGAGGGAUGCGGAAUUCCAGGUGUAGCGGUGAAAUGCGUAGAUAUCUGGAGGAACACCGGUGGCGAAGGCGGCAUCCUGGACCAACACUGACACUGAGGAGCGAAAGCCAGGGGAGCAAACGG